rnacentral:rRNA from 1 species
UACGUAGGAUCCAAGCGUUAUCCGGAUUUAUUGGGUUUAAAGGGUGCGUAGGCGGAUUGAUAAGUUAGAGGUGAAAUGUCCGAGCUCAACUCGGGAACUGCCUCUAAUACUGUUGAUCUAGAGAGUAGAUGCGGUAGGCGGAAUGUAUGGUGUAGCGGUGAAAUGCUUAGAGAUCAUACAGAACACCGAUUGCGAAGGCAGCUUACCAAUCUAUAUCUGACGUUGAGGCACGAAAGCGUGGGGAGCAAACAAG